AGCGGCGGACGGGUGAGUAACGCGUGGGUGACCUGCCCACGUACCGGGGGAUAACAGCUGGAAACGGCUGCUAAUACCGCAUAAGCGCACAGUACCGCAUGGUACGGUGUGAAAAACUCCGGUGGUAUGAGAUGGACCCGCGUCGGAUUAGCUAGUUGGUGAGGUAACGGCCCACCAAGGCGACGAUCCAUAGCCGACCUGAGAGGGUGACCGGCCACAUUGGGACUGAGACACGGCCCAA
rnacentral:rRNA from 1 species